AAUGAUGUUGAUGUUUCCUUUCCACUUAUGCCAACCUUACACCAAACGACUUUUCAAGCCAUUCCACCAUCGCAGACUAAUUUCCAAUAUCGGAAUGAAAUCAUGUGUCUUGCUAGAGUUGUGGUCAUAAAACUAAGUACGAGUCAGUCUUUUUUUUUGAUGUUCCAACAAAAUCAAACAUGUUUAAUAUUAUCGUAAGUUUUAAGUCUUGUUAGUGAAGUUAAAUCAUGUGAACAUU